rnacentral:misc_RNA from 1 species
CCGAGUUCUACAACUCCCAAACCCCUGUGAACAUACCUAUACGUUGCCUCGGCGGAUCAGCCGCUCCCGUGACGGACGCCGCCGAAGGACCCUAAACUCUGUUUUCUAGUGGAACUUCUGAGUAAAUCUAGACAAUAAAUCA